rnacentral:rRNA from 1 species
CUGGGGCUGUAGUCGGUCCCAAGGGUUGGGCUGUUCGCCCAUUAAAGCGGUACGCGAGCUGGGUUCAGAACGUCGUGAGACAGUUCGGUCCCUAUCCGUCGUGGGCGUAGGAAAUUUGAGAGGAGCUGUCCUUAGUACGAGAGGACCGGGAUGGACACACCGCUGGUGUACCAGUUGUCUUGCCAAAGGCAUCGCUGGGUAGCUAUGUGUGGACGGGAUAAGUGCUGAAAGCAUCUAAG